rnacentral:rRNA from 1 species
CCGUUAACGAACGAGACCUUAACCUGCUAAAUAGCCAAGCUAGCUUUUGCUGGUUGCUGGCUUCUUAGAGGGACUAUCGGCUCAAGCCGAUGGAAGUUUGAGGCAAUAACAGGUCUGUGAUGCCCUUAGAUGUUCUGGGCCGCACGCGCGCUACACUGACAGAGCCAACGAGUAUAAACCUUAACCGAGAGGUUUGGGUAAUCUUGUUAAACUCUGUCGUGCUGGGGAUAGGGCAUUGCAAUUAUUGCCCUUCAACGAGGAAUAUCUAGUAAGCGCAAGUCAUCAGCUUGCGUUGAUUACGUCCCUGCCCUUUGUACACACCGCCCGUCGCUAAUACCGAUUGAAUGGAUG